UCCCUCUCUCCCUCCCUCUCUCUCUCUCCCUCUCUCUCUUCUCUCUCUCUCUCUCUCUCUCUCUCUCUCUCUCUCUCUCUCUCUCGUGCUAGGAAUGGAACCAAAAUCCCAAAUAUUCAUGAAUGCCAGGCACUCGCUCUUCUGCUAAACCACACUUCCAGGCUCAGCUCAGUGUGAGCUGCAUGUUCUUAGGUUGUCAUCGCUGAGUUGGUUGGCUUUCCCAUCACACAUCAGAAUUCUGAAUUUUAUCUCGGCUUUCCGAAGGGAAUGCCCAACGAGAAUGAAACCAGAAAUGAUGGUGUGGUGCAUGCCUUUAAUCCCAGCACUCGAAAGGCAGAGGCAGGCAGAUCUCCGAGUUCAAGGCUACAGGACAAGUUCCACAAUAGUCAGGGCUACACAGAGAAGCCCUGUCCCAAACAAACAAACAAACAAACAAACAAACAGACAGACAGACAGACAGAAUGAAACCCCAAAAGAACCAAGUCCCAUUGGCACAAGAAGCCUGAGUCAGCCUUGCCUGUAACUGCCUGACUUCCCACUCUACCCCACAGCCGCCCCUCCAGGGCUGGGAAUGAGAACUUAGGUUCCCUGUAUGUCAGUCGAUCACUGUACUAUUAAGCAGUAUCCCCAGCCCACUGCUUCACUUUUUUACAUGAAAGAACCAACAAUAUUUUUAAAUGAGUGGGGGCAGGAGAGUUGGCUCCAUGGUUAGCAGUACUUCUUGUUGCUAAGGACCCGGGUUCAAUUCCCAGCACCCACACAGCGGCUCACCACUUCCUUGGACACCAGACAUGCAUGUGGUAUAGAUGUAUAUGCAGGAAAAACACUCAAAAUACACCAAAUAAAAAUAAAUUAAUUAAAAGUAAAAUAAAUGCGCGUGAGAGAGAGAGAGAGAGAGAGAGAGAGAGAGAUCAACAGGAAUAGUCUUUGAGCUUUGUACACCUAUACCCUGAGUCCGGGAGUGGGAGUGGCAGAUCUCAUAUGUAGCUAUAAAAGCAGAUGUGCCCUACAAUAGUUCUCCUCUUGGGAGUCUAUAUGAUCCCAAGUCACAUCACUGAGUCUUUAUCUUGUAGCCCAUCUCCUCUGUCCCGAGGGACCCUCCCCUCUUGCCCAGUGUAUAGCCCUGCCCAUCAUGACACCCGUUUCAUCCAGUACCUUGACUCUUUUGCUUUCCCACUGUCUCUCAAACUGAAACUCUUACCUGCACAGCACACUUCCAGGACUAUCUUAGUCACUGUCCCCUGUGCUGCUGCCAGACACCUGACAAAAGCAGUUAAAGCAGGCAGAGUUCCUUUGGGCUCAGAGUUUGAGGGUUCAGUCCAUCAUGGCGGACAGUCAUGGUGGUAAGAAGGAGCCACAGCUGUGCUGGGAGCAUGAGGUUGCCAGCUCACGUCUGAGUAGAUCAGGUAGGGGAGAGGGGUAAGGAGUGAGUCCUAGCCACCCAUAUCCAGCAUGGAUCUUCCCUCACUCGCAGACACCCCCAGAGCAACCUCAUGGAUGACAAUAUGGAGUGCUAAGACUCUGGCUCCCAAAGCACUGAGACUGAGAACCACCAUCCAUCAGAGACGACGGCACUUUCCCGGCCUGUGACCACACCACAGUCAAGAGUAGCAGCAGGCUUAAGGCCAGAGAGGCUGGCAGUGAAGUCUUAGGGAAUGCUGGGGAGGGGCCCCCUAUAUCCCAUGCACACCCCCGCCAGAACCUCCUCCAGCCCCUACCCCAGCCCUGCUCCCACCGUCACUGCCCACUGAGUCAGAUGCUCUGUCUGGAUUUUCUAGCUUCAGUCUACCCUGGUUCAUCCACCCUUCACGUAGUGUCAGCUUUUUAAAAGCAUGGACCAGAUCUUGCUUAAAUCUCCCGAGGGAUUCAAAGCCAGAGACUGAAAUGGUGCUAUGGGCUCUUCUCAGUGGCUCGCACAACCAAGAUGGCCUCUGCUGUGUGAAAGCACCAUCGUUGAGGAUGCCAUGGCCUCCGUCCCCCACAUCGCAGGUGCCCCAGUCAUCAGCCAAAGCCCUGAUGUCAGAGUUACUGCUGGAGAAGUGUCUCCCAAGAGGACCCUAGAUGUCUCUGAGCAUCAUCAUCUGGCUCUUCUCUACCCUCGUUUUGUCCCCGCCCACCUCUUUCCAUACUUCUUAUUACUAGACACCAUUGAAGUGGAAACCUAAGGGUGUUUUGCUGAUGCAGACACAGGAGAAAGGAUACUCUGCUAAAACAAACAUGUGAAAGGACAUGUGAUGAAGGAUUCUUUGCUAAACACACACACACACACACACACACACACACACACACACACACACACACACACACACACACACAGGUCUGCCUCUACAUUGCAUAGUUGAGCUGCAUUUGUUGGGACUCCAUAGAGAGAAACUCACCAAAAAACGUCUGGUGGCGGGCUGCAGUUUCUUGCUGCUUCUGCAGACUCAGGCUGAUUGGCAGAGUGAUGUCAGCUGAGGCAGGCACACGUGCUGAGGCAAGACACGUGAAGAGCUCGUGAUGUUUGGAGGGUGUAAAUAGGACUCGGUGGACAGUACUGGAGGCUGAGCUUGGCUUGCUUACGGAGCCAGCUGUGCACCGCUUGUGGGUCUCUCAUCUUCGCUAAUCUUCACUUCCCUGAAAGAGGCACAGCUGAGAACUUCUCUUGACCUUCCUCCUGGUCCCUUUGCUGAUUCAACUCAAGGCUGAGGCCUGGCUGUCUCUGCCAGGUAGUGCUACCACUGCCAUGAAGUGUUUUCGAAUGGAUUGAGCUGCCGCUGCUGACCUGUGAACUGAACUGCCGAUUUCCAGACAACACAGACCGGAGUUGCUCCAAAGAACCUUUCUAAACAGGUCCACUUCCCUUUCUUUCCCACUACCUCUGGUGGAUAGUGGUGGGCUACAAGGGAGGUUAAAGCAUUUAAGAACCAUCAUAAAAGUAGGUUUUGGAAAAAAAAUAAACUUACACACUAUCCACAGGAAACUUGAGUUCCCUAGUGCAGGAGCCCCUAGCUGCACUUUCACUAGAAGUCAUGAAAAGCAUAUCUAACCAUGUGUGUCGGGGUUGAGGGUGCAUUUUGGAACCUCUCCAAUUGUUCUACAUUACACGCACAAUAGCAGAGCAGGGCACACUUUGGGCAUCAAGAGUGGAUGAAUCCUUUUUCCUCAGUUUCCAUAACAAGGAACUGUAAGGCGGUCUCCCAUCUACUUGAUGGCUGCCCUGGCUCUUCUCUUCUGGAAAACAAAGAUGGGGCUAUUGCUACGUUCCCUGCAGUGUCUCAAGUGCUUAGAACUGUCCAGAAUAGGUGUGGACGAACGAAUGUGGAAAGAAUGUACCUUCGGGCUCUCAGAAUGGUCGCGCAGCUUCACAGGUCUGCUGGGCAGCCUUGUGCAUGGAAAGCAAAGCAUGCUGGGAAGCUGGUGUAGCAUAAACUGGAGUGGGGAAGCCAUGGCUCUCCCCUCCAGCACUGUGAGGUCCCAGGGAGGGAGAAUUAGGGGACAGGUCUGAGAUGGCUCCCGAGAGAUAUAGGGACCAUUUAAUCUCAGCUUUACUUUCAGAAGGACUGGAGUUUGGAUUCUCUCUUGCCCUUGAGUUCCUACCAGAGUACACGCUUUCAGGGGCCAUGCGGUGCUAGGAGUGGAACCUAAGGUCUCAUCCAUGCUACGUGAGCUAACCUAUGCUGCAUUUACACUUUCUAGGCAGCACCAUUAAUCUGGAUGCGGUUGUCCUGACCUCCAUUGUUUAGCCUGUUAGAAGGCGCUCUGUCUUUUAGAGGGAGGGGCUGGAACGAAUCUCAGAGCCUUCUAAGUCCCUUUGGUUCUAUCUGCCAAACAGGGCCUUCUGGUCCCCAAAGGAGCUGUGGCUCUGCUUGCUGGGCCUGGAGACCCUCAGAGCCAGCAAACAGGAGGAAGUGGAGUCAGGCAGAAUUCUCCUCCUGGAGCCACACUCCCAGCAACUGGUCAGGGGCCUGAGGCUGGCCUGGACAGGGAACUCCAGGUCUGCAGCAGAGUGUCUUUUUCCUGAGCAGUGGCUGCCCCCAUGAGGGCGAAGGCAGAAGAUGUGUGCAGAAAAGCUGAUGGGAGAGGCGGUGCCAUUGACUGAUCAAGAAAGAGGAGGUUUCUUGGGCCGUGGAAGCCUGGAGUUCUGUUUAAGACCCAUCAGGAUGUAUGACCCAGGGAUUCCUGGGGAAAUGAAAAGCCACCACGGAGAACAGCCAAAGAUGUAAACAGACAACUGCGUAGGAGCACAGCGGUUUCUCUGAAGUGACAUCAAUUUCACAAACAUCCCGCAAUUGUCUAAGCAGAACUGUGGCGCUCUCUGCACUGUCCCUGGACAAAGAGAAGCUGUAAGACUGCAAAUCAAAAAACCUUCCGAAGUUUAAGGCCCUGGCAUCAUGGAAAGACUCCCACCUGCCCCCAAACAGAUACCAUAAGUGACAAUGAACUGGAUACCCCCAACGACAAAUGAGCAUCACAACAGCACACCGCAGCGAACGAACGGUUAUUUCCUCUCAUGACCAAAGGGCCAUGGAAGCUGUUUACUUUCCGCUGUGCAGCAUGGGGGGGCAAGACUGAGGGCCAGGGGAAAAGCCCGAAGUCAUAACUCAAAGCAUUUUGUUUUAAACUGGACGCAUGUCAUUUUAACAUCCUAAGACAUACCAUGGAAGGUCAGGGACCGUCUGAAAUAGCAUCCUGGUCAGCAGUGGGCACAUAAGCCUGCUUGGUGACAGCCAUGUCAACUCCCAGGGCUGUGGAAAAGCUUAUAGCUACUGAGCACUGAAGACCCAGUUAAUUGUGGUUGUGGGAAGGCGGGAGCAGGGACCACGAGUCCAGCUGCUAUCUUCUCUGUGGUGGAAUCCUGCACAGAUAACAGAAUGGCUUAGAGCUAAGCAUAACGUACACAACAUGCAGACUAACACAGAAA